rnacentral:rRNA from 1 species
CCUACGGGUGGCAGCAGUGAGGAAUAUUGGGCAAUGGGCGGGAGCCUGAACCAGCCAAGUCGCGUGAGGGAAGACGGUCCUACGGAUUGUAAACCUCUUUUGUCGGGGAGCAACGGGGUCCUUGCGAGGGCCCGAUGAGAGUACCCGGAGAAAAAGCAUCGGCAAACUCCGUGCCAGCAGCCGCGGGAGUAGGGAGGAUGCGAGCGUUAUCCGGAUUGAUUGGGUUUAAAGGGGGCGUAGGCGGGCUGUUAAGUCAGCGGUCAAAUGUCGGGGCUCAACCCCGGCCGGCCGUGGAAACUGGCGGCCUCGAGUGGGGGAGAGGUAUGCGGAAUGCGUGGUGUAGCGGUGAAAUGCGUAGAUAUCACGAAGAACUCCGAUUGCGAAGGCAGCAUACCGGCGCGCGACUGACGCUGAGGCACGAAAGCGUGGGUAUCGAACAGGAUUAGAUACCCGAGUAGUC